rnacentral:rRNA from 1 species
CGCUGGAAGACUGCAGUCGAACGAUCAUUCCAGGGUAGCAAUAUUCUGGAGUGAGAGUGGCGCAAGGGUGCGUAACACGUGGGCAAUCUGCCGCGAAGACCGGAAUAACCUGCUGAAAGGCGAGCUAAUACCGGAUGUGACGAUCGGGAGGCAUCUUCUGAUCUUCAAAGUUGGGGACCGUAAGGCCUGACACUUCGCGAUGAGCCCGCGGCCUAUCAGCUAGUUGGUGAGGUAACGGCUCACCAAGGCUAAGACGGGUAGCUGGUCUGAGAGGACGACCAGCCACACUGGAACUGAGACACGGUCCAGACACCUACGGGUGGCAGCAGUCGAGAAUUUUUCACAAUGGGCGCAAGCCUGAUGGAGCGACGCCGCGUGGGGGAUGAAUGGCUUCGGCCCGUAAACCCCUGUCAUUCGGGAUCAAUCCCUGCAACCUAACACGUUGCAGGUUGAUAGUACUGAAAGAGGAAGGGACGGCUAACUCUGUGCCAGCAGCCGCGGUAAUACAGAGGUCCCAAGCGUUGUUCGGAUUUACUGGGCGUAAAGGGUGCGUAGGUGGUGAGGUAAGUCGGAUGUGAAAUCUCCAGGCUCAACCUGGAAAUGGCAUUGGAAACUACCUUGCUCGAGGGUUGGAGGGGGGACUGGAAUACUUGGUGUAGCAGUGAAAUGCGUAGAUAUCAAGUGGAACACCAGUGGCGAAGGCGAGUCCCUGGACAACUCCUGACACUGAGGCACGAAAGCUAGGGGAGCAAACAGGAUUAGAUACCCUGGUAGUCCUAGCCGUAAACGGUGCUUGCUUGCUGUAAAAGGAAUCGACCCCUUUUGUGGCGUAGCCAACGCGAUAAGCAAG